GGUGGAUAUAGAGGUCAGUGAGUGACUGAGGUGGGGGGGGGGAAAUCAGUGACAGCAAACGAAAUUCCCCAGGAGGCACCGGACUUGAAUCCAAAGCCAGGUAAGCGCUCGGAUUGAUUACUUUUUCUAAAAAAACAAAGAUUGCCAUCAAACUUGCUAAAAGUUAAGAAACGCGUAUUUCACAUUGAAAAUGAAGGAACUGAGGCAGGAACACAUAGCGCGUGUGCUCAGCAGUGACCUCCAUUGGACAGCAGAUGGCGCUGUGACUCACCACAAAACACAGACGAGCCUAUCCGUGAUUCACCGGUGCCAAACAAAGAGGUUGAUUAGCUGGAGCAAUCAGGCGCCGGAGCCUUUGCGCUGCUCCUGGCUUGUAAUUAAUAAUCAAGGUUUGCAUCGUGUCUUUGGAGAAUAAGGCAGGAAGGAGGCGUGGGGCAAAAGCGACCCGGAGGAGCACAGCCAUACCCAUCGGGGUGCGAGAGGCGCCACCUCACCUUGGGGAUGGGGGGAGGGCCGGCUGCCUGCCACUUGAUUGGGGACACUGUGCUCAGCAAGUCCUCUGUGGCUACAGCCUGCUUACUGGUUAGACCUUGCGUAAUACUGGUUAACUCCCAUGUACUGAUUAGACACUGUGUACUGGUUACCGCCCACAUACUGGUUAGACCCUGUGUAAUGGCUACUAGUUAAUCCCUGCAUACUGCUUAACAUCUAUGUAUGGAGUAGACCUUGCAUACUGGAUACAGGUUACUGCCCACAAACUGAUUAGACAGGUUAGCACCCAUGUACUGAUUAGACCCUGGGUACUGGGUACAGGUUAGCACCCAUGUACUGAUUAGACCCUGGGUACUGGGUACAGGUUAGCACCCAUGUACUGAUUAGACCCUGAGUACUGGGUACAGGUUAGCACCCAUGUACUGAUUAGACCCUGGGUACUGGGUACAGGUUAGCACCCAUGUACUGAUUAGACCCUGAGUACUGGGUACAGGUUAGCACCCAUGUACUGAUUAGACCCUGGGUACUGGGUACAGGUUAGCACCCAUGUACUGAUUAGACCCUGAGUACUGGGUACUGGUUAGUGCCACAUAGCGCUGAAAGCCCCCUGAAUUGACGCACCAUGUGUACUGGGAUCUUGCUCCAUAAGCUUAUGUUUAGAUUACUGGAAGCUGGCCAGCUAAUAAUGAAAUGAGGCUGGUUUAAGCCUGGGGGGGGUUACAAGGUCUCGUGGCUUUAAUAUCGCAGAGGGGUCCCACUGCCAUCACCAUGCAAUGACCCCAUUGCGGAUCAUCCUCCUGACUCACUCCCCCACACGAAGGAGCAUCUUCCUCUUCCCCAUCUUCCUCGACACCUUCACCAUUAACCCCAUACCUCAGGUUCCGCUCCGUCACACGCCAGACGCUCACGCCGUCCCAUAAUCCUCUGUUCCGCCGCCGGCUUCGCCGUUCCCCCAACCCACACACUCCCCGUGCAUCCUGGCCCCUUGACGUGACUCCUACCCUCUCAGCCUCCCUAUUAUCUACACAAUUUCUGGCUCGCAUCCACCACAUAUCCCCCUCCACAGCUCAAAGGAAAGGGAAGGGGGAGGAAACAGAAGGCGCGCGUAUGCCUGGUAAUACGGUAACCCUGCAGCUCCCCGCCGCCCACGUACCUUCAU